GCCAGGGGUAUGAGAGUGGAGGUGGCCGCCUCCGAAGUUGGUCUGAGAACCGGCGACGGCAGUGCGCAGGGGGUCGCAGGUGCCAAGCUGUGCAGAGCCCCAGGGACUGCUGUUGUCGAGGUCACCAAUCCCAGGGAAACCCUGGGCGGACACAGAUGUUGUGAUCUUCAGCCAACAGGACCAGAGCCUGCAAGACCCGCCUCCUGACCGCCACCUCUGGGACUUCCUACAGGAAGACAGCGACAGUUUAGGCACUCUCUGCCUAAUUCUGCCACUUCAAUGAGGGAAAUCAGGACCAUAUACCUGGUGUGGUUUUUUUUUUGGAGGGGGAGGGGUGCAGAGACAGGUCCCUCCCACAUUCCCUCUGCUAGGUAUUUGCAAGCUUACCUUAGAGAAGAAACAUGUCUUGGGACGUCCAGGCUGUAGGGCCAGGACACACAUCUGAAGUAAGUUCAAUCCCUUCUCUCAAAAGCUGUUAGUUGACAGUCAGUGCAGAUCACUGGAGGCAGCGGCUUAGGCCAGAUCUCUCCAGAAUGAGACUGGCCUCUGGGUAUAUCACUGUCCCUGUCACAAUGGUGUCAUGCCCAGUAGACUGUGCAAAGAGGGGAUACUGUGUGGACCUCUGGGUAGGCCUGCAAAGCUGACUCACUGCUGGGAAGUGACUCUCGAACUAAUGUUCUCAAUUCUAUGCUGGGGAUGACCAAGAAUGCUAAGGCCCAGAGAGGUCUCAGCAGGCUGGUACUGCCCUCUGGUUGGAAUGCCCAGGUAAGGAGAGUGGUAGUGACUACCCAUACUGACAGCUGGCGCUGUCCUGCCUCAACAUCACCCAGGGAGGUAGCCUCCUUGGCCAGAUCCUGGCCUGCCAGGACCUAGACAUCUGUGGAUAGCUUAUCCCUUCCACACUUUAGCACAAGUCAUACCGUUGUUUCCAAAGUAAAGUUUAGAAUUCAAAAGUAAA